GCUCCCUUCGUCUAGUGGUAAGGACGCUGCCCUCUCAAGGCGGAAACAGGGGUUCAACUCCCCUAGGGAGCGCCA
rnacentral:tRNA from 1 species